rnacentral:rRNA from 1 species
CUUUGGGAUAACCCUCGGAAACGGGGGCUAAUACCGGAUAUUACUGCUGGACGCAUGUUUGGUGGUGGAAAGUUUUUCGGCCUGGGAUGGGCUCGCGGCCUAUCAGCUUGUUGGUGGGGUGAUGGCCUACCAAGGCGACGACGGGUAGCCGGCCUGAGAGGGCGACCGGCCACACUGGGACUGAGACACGGCCCAGACUCCUACGGGAGGCAGCAGUGGGGAAUAUUGCACAAUGGGCGGAAGCCUGAUGCAGCGACGCCGCGUGAGGGAUGACGGCCUUCGGGUUGUAAACCUCUUUCAGCAGGGACGAAGCGCAAGUGACGGUACCUGCAGAAGAAGCGCCGGCCAACUACGUGCCAGCAGCCGCGGUAAGACGUAGGGCGCGAGCGUUGUCCGGAUUUAUUGGGCGUAAAGAGCUCGUAGGCGGCUUGUCGCGUCGACUGUGAAAACCCGUGGCUCAACUGCGGGCCUGCAGUCGAUACGGGCAGGCUAGAGUUCGGUAGGGGAGACUGGAAUUCCUGGUGUAGCGGUGAAAUGCGCAGAUAUCAGGAGGAACACCGGUGGCGAAGGCGGGUCUCUGGGCCGAUACUGACGCUGAGGAGCGAAAGCGUGGGGAGCGAACAGGAUUAGAUACCCUGGUAGUCCACGCUGUAAACGUUGGGCGC